GUUAGGAAUAUUGGACAAUGGGCGAAAGCCUGAUCCAGCCAUGCCGCGUGAACGAUGAAGGCCUUCGGGUUGUAAAGUUCUUUAGCCGAUGAUUAUAAUGACUGUAGUCGGAAAAUAAGCCCCGGCUAACUUCGUGCCAGCAGCCGCGGUAAUACGAAGGGGGCGAGCGUUAUUCGGAAUCACUGGGCGUAAAGCGUGCGUAGGCGGUUUUGUAAGUUAGGAGUGAAAGCCCAGGGCUCAACCUUGGAAUUGCUCUUAAAACUGCAAGGCUCGAAUCUCGGUGAGGAUAGCGGAAUUUCCAGUGUAGCAGUGAAAUGCGUAGAUAUUGGAAGGAACACCAGUGGCGUAAGCGGCUAUCUGGACGAGUAUUGACGCUGAGGCACGAAAGCGUGGGGAUCAAACAGGAUUAGAAACCCUGGUAGUCC
rnacentral:rRNA from 1 species